ensembl:lncRNA
CUCUCUGAAGUAAACAAAAUAAGAAUUUAUGCUAUUGACCUUGUUAAGUAACUAACAUUUUUCCUCCUCUGCAAUAGCUUUUGCUUUCUCCCACAGUUCAACCCCUCCUGAGCCUGAGGCCGCACGCUACACUGAAAUAUUCAAUCCCGCAUUUGAAUAAGCUGAAUAAAUCCAGCCAUACUGCUAAACAUAUGUGGUGAAGCUGAGACAGCUCUGCUGCUGUGCAAAGCACGGCCCUGCUCCAAGUUACGUACUCGUGGCCGUGCCUGCCCUUAACCAUCUGCUGCUCAUCUGGAACAGUUACUGCACCCAGGAUUUGCGAUGGGACAGGAGAGAGCAGCCACCCCUGUUGCCACCCUCUGCUAUCCUGUGUGCUAGAAGGCUGAGAGAGC